UGUGGAGAUCGGGAUGACAGUCCCUAAUUGUGGCAAGCAGUAAGAGGCAGAGGCUGCAAUCUGGAUUACAGAUGAGACUAUGUUGUGGCUAAGAAUGCAGGCCAAGGGUAAAACUUUGCCAGAAAAUGAAGAGUGACUGGUUCCUCCUUUGGUACCUCCUGAUCCAGAACCUGCAACAAUAAACGACAAAGAAAUCAGCAUUUGCACACCAAGCAACGGUGUCCUUGAUGUUGUACUGGAGCCCAAAGAACCAUGUUUCUCUCAGUCCCAGAGCCCGGCACACCAAGU